UUCACGUUAUAAUUGAACUCUCCCUAGCAGGGUUCACCCUUUACUGAAGAUGAGUGGGUGCCUUUAAAGGGAGACUAGUCUUAAUUUCAGAGAUGUGUACUUUGGAUUUUGGUAGUGUUGGGAUUUAUCAGUUCCCCAAAUAGGGCAUACCUCAUAUACCAUUUAAGACUGGAAAUCCUAUGGUUUUAUUGAGGGUGAGAAAUGGAAAAUCCCAGCUUCAAAAAUCAUCAUUACUCAAACAUAUUUCUUGGACACAUUAAAAGUAACUCUCCCAGUUCAAACUAGAAACAGGAGGGGAAUUCCCUACAAAGACAGAAAAAGAGAACCUGACAUUUACUUAGGACUGUAUGACUGAGCUAAUUCUUAGGAAAAUGCUAUUCAAGCAGGGAAGACAUAGGGUUCAACACCAGUUGCAGAAGAUUAGAGAGGGCAGUUGCAUGACCUUUAUCUGUCUGCAAGUUCCCAACUAAAGGCCACAUUUCAAAAUUUGCAAAUAAAACCCUGCAUCUUCCUUUUUUUCUCUUUUUUUUUACCCCCACUGCUAGAUUUGUAAAUCCUCUUUGGUGAUUAUCAUAGGAGAUAAAAUCUGAACAAUUCCACUCUAUGAAAACCACCUUUUCUGUCUGCACUAUUAAACAAGCCCAGUGGGAGAAUGCGAUUAUCAAGGACUUGCUACUGCAGUAAGUAAAUGUCAGUCAGUGGAAAAAAAGAAAAUAUUAUUAGAGUAGAAAGCUGAUCAACAAAAGCAGAUGAGCCUAAGGGAGAAAAAUACCACUUUGAACUAACAUACUCUUUAAUGUCAGCCAUAUCUAAAUGUGAAGAAAAAGUUUGGUCUCUGACUGUCUCUUUAGUAUGUUCCUGUUAAAGAUAUGUGAACAGAAAUCUACUCAGAGCAUGACCCCCUUGCAGCCUGGCUCAGCCCAAGAAAAGUGAAAGACAGCAAGACAGCAGCCAUGAGGGACAGAGGGAGAGAUGUCUGAAAAGUCCAUCUGCUUCCUUGCACAACCUUGAUUUCCAAUAUACUGAGUCACAGAUCAAAUGAAAGAAGUUCCUGGUAGACCUGCUGCCUCAGCCCACUUACAACAGGGAGAAGACUAAUUGCACUCUGCAAAGGACCUGCAGAAACUCCUGUAAGAGACAUCUUCUGUGAGAAAAGUACUUCCUGGUGGCCCACAGAUACUGUCCAGGCUACAGACUCUUCCCUCUUCCAUUUCCAACACGUAGCACGUACAAAGACCAGAAGUCAUCCUCCAGCAAGGACUGCUUUCUCCAAAGGUAAAUCACUGGCUGUGUUGGCACUGCCUUCAUUUUUCUGACUACCUCCCCUCUGCAGCCUGAUAAAGAGCGAGGUUCAGCUGCAGGCUGAUAAGCAUGUGAGAACAUGGGGAAAUCGUGUAAUUUGGGGAUGUCAGGUGAAUGAUGUCAGAUGAGUGUAUGUUUUCACUUCAGUCAUAAUCUCUCCACUCUGCCAUGAGCUGGGUGGGAUGCCACAGUUUGGCUCAUGGUGUUUGGACAUGACAGGAAAGGGAAGACCUGUCUUAGGUUAAACUCACCUAUGAAUGUAGCACUGUGUGCAUUCACACCAGGUUGACACCAUGAUAAUCACAAUCUGUGCAUAAAAAACAUUGUGUGCCUGCAAACUUCCAUUCUGUUGUGACCUCUUGUUUCAGGUGCUUGUUUCUAUGAUAAACAGCUGCCUGUGUUGUUGAGUUUUUCCAGACACAGUCAUUGUUCAAAAGCUAAGCUGCUAUUCUCUAAAAUAGGCAUAAAAAGCACUGAAGAAUUAUCUGAAAGAUGAGAGGAGUCAAGGAUAUAAACCGG
ensembl:lncRNA